CACAACCUCAGCUCCUGCGGGCUCUCCGUGGAUGGAAUUAGCUACUCUAAUUUCUCCCAGAGGCCAGCGUUGUUAAAGGCCAAGCUGAACUAAGCUCCUUUUCCCUGUGUGAACAGUGAGCGCUGUACUCGGCUGCCCCCAGUCCCUCCCCCCCGCGCUGCCCAGCAUUUGCCACUGUUUGUCCCUGGGGCUGGGGAUGCAGCACGCCGGCAGGAAGGGCACCAGGCCGUGGGCAGGGCAUUAAUGUGCUCUAAAUUCAGACUGCACCGAGCAGCCACCACGCUGGAUUAAGAGUUAAGCGACUGUCAGAGAAAUGACUGGAAGGCGUGGGGCAGGGCGGGGAUUUCCAGAGAUUUAAAACAUGCCGUAGAACCUUAUCUAGAGAAUGAUAGAAGGCAAAGUUUUGAUUUAUGACAAUUUGCUCUAUGGGAUUCUCCAGGGGUGGUGUUUGGUGGAUGUAAUAGUGACCAAACCCACAGAGUUAGGAAAAUGCUAAUGAAAUCUGCAAUUAAUACCAGUUUAGGAAAACAAAGAGGUACCAAAGACAGCAACUGCAGGAAAAGAAAUUUAGAAGGAAGAGAAGCUGGAGAAGAUCAUGCUGUAGAAGAUGUGACACAAUGCUCCAAAGAAAUUUCUCCAAAGUCACAGGGAUUUCCAGGUAAAGCUGCUGCUUUGGAAGCUAAACUGUAUCCUGAAUGCUGAGGAAGCUCUGGAAGACUAAACAUGCUGGACUUAAAAUUCUGUGUUUUCUAAAUCUAUGCUCUGUUGCUGAAUACUUUUGAAAUUAAAAAAAAACCCUUCCCAAGCCCAGUGAUAAAUUCAGUAGGGAAUCUGUUUCUUCCUCUAAUGUGGCCCUUGCUUUUUAUGCCAAUGAUUUUCCCCUCCACUUCUUUCCCUAGUUCCUCUUUUUUUCCUCCAGGUAUCCAAUGAACAUGAGCAAUCUCUCCAUAAAUACAAGUUCUAUUAUGCUCAUUGACCACAAUGACGCACAGGAUAUUAAACUAAACAGUGAUUUCUUCCAAAUGUAGUGAUUCCAGUGGACUGGGGAUCUGACUGGCUGUGAAUCUGUCAGGUUUCCCUUUUGCCAUUCUCUAGCUGGC
rnacentral:lncRNA from 1 species